rnacentral:snRNA from 1 species
UCACUAAACGACAGUGUAUAUACAAAAAUUUCAAUGAUUAGCAUGGGCCCUGAGUAAGGAUGACACACAAAUUCGUGAAAUGUUCCUUCCUUUA